ACAGCAGGCAGCCAGAACCAGACCAAUCCAGUUCGUGAUAACCUGAAAAGGAACACAAAGGAUUUUGGUAGUGAACUGUCUGCUGAUAAAUUUGCAACAUCUGAUGACACUGAAAAGAUGACGACUGAACAAAUCCAGAGUCGGAGGACAGCAGGCAGCCAGAACCAGACCAAUCCAAGUCGUGAUAACCUGAACAGGAACACAAAGGUAGUUUUUGGUUCUUGUAGU